rnacentral:rRNA from 1 species
CCUGGCUUAGGACGAACGCUGGCGGCGUGCCUAAUACAUGCAAGUCGAACGGUCUUUUCUAUGGAAGCUUGCUUCCACUGAGAAGAUAGUGGCGAACGGGUGAGUAACACGUGGGUAACCUGCCCAUAAGAGGGGGAUAACAUCCGGAAACGGGUGCUUAUACCGCAUAGUUUUCUUGAUCGCAUGAUCGGGAAAGGAAAGACGGCCUUUGUGCUGUCGCUUAUGGAUGGACCCGCGGCGUAUUAGUUAGUUGGUGAGGUAACGGCUCACCAAGACGAUGAUACGUAGCCGACCUGAGAGGGUGAUCGGCCACAUUGGGACUGAGACACGGCCCAAACUCCUACGGGAGGCAGCAGUAGGGAAUCUUCCGCAAUGGACGAAAGUCUGACGGAGCAACGCCGCGUGAGUGAAGAAGGUUUUUCCGGAUCGUAAAACUCUGUUGUCAGAGAAGAACAAGUUGGAGAGUAACUGCUCCAGCCUUGACGGUAUCUGACCAGAAAGCCACGGCUAACUACGUGCCAGCAGCAGC